UACGUAGGGUGCAAGCGUUUAAUCGGAAUUACUGGGCGUAAAGCGUGCGCAGGCGGUUGUGCAAGACCGAUGUGAGAUCCCCGGGCUUAACCUGGGAAUGGCAUUGGUGACUGCACGGCUAGAGUGUGUCAGAGGGGGUAGAAUUCCACGUGUAGCAGUGAAAUGCGUAGAGAUGUGGAGGAAUACCGAUGGCGAAGGCAGCCCCCUGGGAUAACACUGACGCUCAUGCACGAAAGCGUGGGGAGCAAACAGG
rnacentral:rRNA from 1 species